rnacentral:rRNA from 1 species
UACGGAGGGUGCGAGCGUUGUCCGGAUUUAUUGGGUUUAAAGGGUGCGUAGGCGGCUGAUUAAGUCUGGGGUGAAAGCCCGUUGCUCAACAACGGAACUGCCCUGGAUACUGGUUAGCUUGAGUACAGACGAGGUUGGCGGAAUGGACGGAGUAGCGGUGAAAUGCAUAGAUACCGUCCAGAACCCCGAUUGCGAAGGCAGCUGACUAGGCUGUUACUGACGCUGAGGCACGACAGCGUGGGGAGCGAACAGG